rnacentral:rRNA from 1 species
GAUGAACGCUGGCGGCGUGCCUAAUACAUGCAAGUAGAACGCUGAAGGAGGAGCUUGCUCUUCUGGAUGAGUUGCGAACGGGUGAGUAACGCGUAGGUAACCUGCCUGGUAGCGGGGGAUAACUAUUGGAAACGAUAGCUAAUACCGCAUGACAACAGUUAUUGCAUGAUAACUGUUUAAAAGGGGCAACUGCUCCACUACCAGAUGGACCUGCGUUGUAUUAGCUAGUUGGUGAGGUGACGGCUCACCAAGGCGACGAUACAUAGCCGACCUGAGAGGGUGAUUGGCCACACUGGGACUGAGACACGGCCCAGACUCCUACGGGAGGCAGCAGUAGGGAAUCUUCGGCAAUGGACGGAAGUCUGACCGAGCAACGCCGCGUGAGUGAAGAAGGUUUUCGGAUCGUAAAGCUCUGUUGUAAGAGAAGAACGAGUGUGAGAGUGGAAAGUUCACACUGUGACGGUAUCUUACCAGAAAGGGACGGCUAACUACGUG